GAUGAACGCUGGCGGCGUGCCUAACACAUGCAAGUCGAACGGAGAUUCCGGACGGACGUUUUCGGAUGGAAGCCUGUAAUUCUUAGUGGCGGACGGGUGAGUAACGCGUGGGCAACCUGCCCUAUACAGGGGGAUAGCAGCUGGAAACGGCUGGUAAGACCGCAUAAGUCGGUUAAAUCGCAUGAUUUGAUCGGGAAAUGAGCAAUCAGGUAUAGGAUGGGCCCGCGUCCGAUUAGCCAGUUGGCAGGGUAAAAGCCUACCAAAGCGACGAUCGGUAGCCGGACUGAGAGGUCGGACGGCCACAUUGGGACUGAGACACGGCCCAAACUCCUACGGGAGGCAGCAGUGGGGGAUAUUGCACAAUGGAGGAAACUCUGAUGCAGCGACGCCGCGUGAGUGAAGAAGUAUUUCGGUAUGUAAAGCUCUAUCAGCAGGGAAGAUGAUGACGGUACCUGACUAAGAAGCCCCGGCUAACUACGUG
rnacentral:rRNA from 1 species